AUUAAACGCUGGCGGCAUGCCUUACACAUGCAAGUCGAACGGCAGCACGGGGGCAACCCUGGUGGCGAGUGGCGGACGGGUGAGUAAAGCAUCGGAACGUAUCCUGGAGUGGGGGAUAACGUAGCGAAAGUUACGCUAAUACCGCAUAUUCUGUGAGCAGGAAAGCAGGGGAUCGCAAGACCUUGCGCUCUGGGAGCGGCCGAUGUCGGAUUAGCUAGUUGGUGGGUAAAGGCCUACCAAGGCGACGAUCCGUAGCGGGUCUGAGAGGAUGAUCCGCCACACUGGGACUGAGACACGGCCCAGACUCCUACGGGAGGCAGCAGUGGGGAAUUUUGGACAAUGGGCGAAAGCCUGAUCCAGCCAUGCCGCGUGAGUGAAGAA
rnacentral:rRNA from 1 species